rnacentral:pre_miRNA from 1 species
AGGCUCAAACUUUUCAACAGAGACAAGUUUGAGGCUCAAACUUUUCUAUAGAAACAAGUUUGAGGUUCAAACUUGUCUCUGUUGAAAAGUUUGAGCC